UUACGACCAGUAAGAGAAUUUGAAGCAAAUUCUACAAUUCAGAUCACACUUUCAUAAGUUCCAGCGAGUGGUCUAGAAGAUUCAACAUGAAACUAUUGUUUUACAGUGCAGUAGCAGCUGUAUUUAUCGUUAUAACAGCUGGUGUUGACUCGCAGACACCCGUGUAUGAAUCUACAGGCAUUUAUCAUGCUAGAAGCCAGCCAACCUUCUUUCCUCGUAGCGAUGGUUACGGUUAUGGUUAUGACUAUGGAAAUGUAGGAUAUGAUUUCCGUGGAUACUAUGGCAACGUGCCAAACGUACGCAACGAAUACUCGGACGUUUAUCCAUACGAUAUUCGUGAAGUUAAUUACAUGUAUAAUCAAGGAUAUGGUUCUCAAUAUGGAUACUACUAGCUUGGAGUUGUGGCAGAAUAGAAGAACGUUGGCAGGAAGAUAACAACAGCAACGCGUAGUAGACCCAGAUCAAGUGUGAUGAAUUAUUGUCUAUGGCCAAUAAACGUUCAAAUUUCUUGUGCUUGAAUAAAAUCAUAGCCAAGCUUU